rnacentral:rRNA from 1 species
GACGAACGCUGGCGGCGUGCUUAACACAUGCAAGUCGAACGGAAAGGCCCUGCUUUUGUGGGGUGCUCGAGUGGCGAACGGGUGAGUAACACGUGAGUAGCCUGCCCUUGACUUUGGGAUAACUUCAGGAAACUGGGGCUAAUACCGGAUAGGAGCUCCUGCUGCAUGGUGGGGGUUGGAAAGUUUCGGCGGUUGGGGAUGGACUCGCGGCUUAUCAGCUUGUUGGUGGGGUAGUGGCUUACCAAGGCUUUGACGGGUAGCCGGCCUGAGAGGGUGACCGGCCACAUUGGGACUGAGAUACGGCCCAGACUCCUACGGGAGGCAGCAGUGGGGAAUAUUGCACAAUGGGCGGAAGCCUGAUGCAACAACGCCGCGUGCGGGAUGACGGCCUUCGGGUUGUAAACCGCUUUCGCCUGUGACGAAGCGUGAGUGACGGUAAUGGGUAAAGAAGCACCGGCUAACUACGUG